rnacentral:rRNA from 1 species
GACGAACGCUGGCGGCGUGCUUAACACAUGCAAGUCGAACGGAAAGGCCUGCUUUCCCUUGUGGAUUGCGGGUACUCGCGUGGCGAACGGGUGAGUAACACGUGAGUGAUCUGCCCCCAACUUGGGUAUAAGCCUGGGAAACUGGGUCUAAUUCCCGAUAGGACUGCAGGGUGGUGCCUGUGGUGGAAAACGAUUUUCUAGUGGUUGGGGAUGAGCUCGCGGCCUAUCAGCUUGUUGGUGGGGUAAUGGCCUACCAAGGCGGCGACGGGUAGCCGGCCUGGGAGGGUGGACGGCCACAUUGGGACUGAGAUACGGCCCAGACUCCUACGGGAGGCAGCAGUGGGGAAUAAUGCACAAUGGGCGGAAGCCUGAUGCAGCGACGCCGAGUGGGGGAUGACGGCCUUCGGGUUGUAAACUCCUUUCGACCGCGAGGAAGCCACCUGGUUGGAAGGGUGGUGACGGUAGUGGUAGAAGAAGCACCGGCUAACUACGUG